rnacentral:rRNA from 1 species
UACGAGGGGUGCAAGCGUUGUUCGGAAUCACUGGGCGUAAAGGGAGCGUAGGUGGAAUUGCAAGUUAACCGUGCAAUGCCGGGGCCCAACCCCGGACUCGCGGUUAAGACUGUGAUUCUUGAGUCAUUCAGAGGUAGACGGAAUUCCUGGUGUAGCGGUGGAAUGCGUAGAGAUCAGGAAGAACACCGAUGGCGAAGGCAGUCUACUGGGGAUGAACUGACACUGAUGCUCGAAAGCGUGGGUAGCAAAC